rnacentral:lncRNA from 1 species
CUAAUUAAUACAGGAUUAGGUCACAUUUCAUAAAAAGCACAUGCACUUAAUAAGGUUUAUUUAUCUACAAGUGAAAGUGCCUUAGCCUAGUGGUCAGAGCACCUGAGUAGCAUCAAGCAGGCCCAAGUUCGACUCCACGUGGGAGCAAAUUAAACGGGUCUAGAAUUAAAAAAAUUAUAAAAAAUAGGUUGGGAUAUCCCUACUGACUUCGGUAAAAAAAAAGUUUAUUAUCUGCAACUAGGCCUAGCAUACCUUGGUCCCAAACUUGCUAACCCGUGGGACCAGCAGAGCGAGAAUUAGGAUUCUUGAUCCCUCUCAAUCUCUCUUUCAAUUCGAGGAUCCAGAGAGGUGUUUUCAUAGUCAUCUCCGAAUAUUUGCCAUCUCCGAAUAUUUGCCAUCUCCGAAUAUUUUCGAUUUCAUUUUUCUAUGAUAUGUCUUUCUAUAUGAAAAUUGGUUAUUUACGAUGUACGAUGAUCCCUGUUAAGCAUCCAUGGCUGAAUGGUUAAAGCGCCCAACUCAAAGUCGUGUGACACGCGAUCAUGCACUUUAAGCAAGUCAACUUGGUCGUCCGUUGGAUUUCAUCCGAUAAACCACUUACUCAGGAUCGAGAAGCACUGCUCACACGAAGGUGAGUGGCACAGAGAUUACAACG